rnacentral:rRNA from 1 species
UUGGAGGGCAAGUCUGGUGCCAGCAGCCGCGGUAAUUCCAGCUCCAAUGGCGUAUAUUAAAGUUGUUGCAGUUAAAAAGCACGUAGUUGAAUUUCGGGGUUCUACCGUUGGCCGGGCUUUGUCUGUACUGGCGUGUGGAAUUUCUACCUUCUGGGGAACUAUCAUGUUAUUAAUUUAACGUGGUGGGAAACCAGGACCUUUACUUUGAAAAAUUAGAGUGUUUAA